CACUCAUUAUUUCCACCCAUUCUCAACAUGAAACAUGCCAUACUCCAUAUUAUGAAUUUUUUUUUUAAAUAUCCAGAAUUUUCAAAAAAAAUUCAAAAUUAACCAUUUUUUCAAAAUAAUUACACAAAUGGGCAUUUUUGGCCAAAAUUAACACCUAGGCGCCACCCUAGUUGGCGCCUACCCUUAAUGGGUAGGGCAAGUCGCCACUAGGAGUGGCGCCUACACCCAUUC
rnacentral:lncRNA from 1 species